ACGGAAGGCAGCAGUGGGGAAUAUUGCACAAUGGGGGAAACCCUGAUGCAGCGACGCCGCGUGAAGGAAGAAGUAUUUCGGUAUGUAAACUUCUAUCAGCAGGGAAGAAGAAAGUGACGGUACCUGACUAAGAAGCCCCGGCUAACUACGUGCCAGCAGCCGCGGUAAUACGUAGGGGGCAAGCGUUAUCCGGAUUUACUGGGUGUAAAGGGAGCGUAGGCGGCUGAGCAAGUCAGAAGUGAAAGCCCGCGGCUUAACUGCGGGACUGCUUUUGAAACUGCCCAGCUUGAUUGCCGGAGAGGUAAGUGGAAUUCCUAGUGUAGCGGUGAAAUGCGUAGAUAUUAGGAGGAACACCAGUGGCGAAGGCGGCUUACUGGACGGUCAAUGACGCUGAGGCUCGAAAGCGUGGGGAGCAAACAGGAUUAGAUACCCUGGUA
rnacentral:rRNA from 1 species